CGGUUUAAUACUGGCUAUCAUCAUUAGCUGUCUGGUUGAAUAACAAAUAUUCAUGAAUUUCAUCAUAUUUGGCCACUGUCCUAACAGAUUGACAACUCCAUUUUCUGAUAUGGUGGAACAGUUUGCACUGUCAUCGUUGUCUUCAUCUCAUUGAACUUCAAGCAAAAUGCAAGCCAUCAAUCCAGGACCUCCUACAGAAAUGCAUCCUACACCUUUCACAGACCUAAAUGUACUGUGUGCAGUAAUGCUCGAAUGACUAUACUCGGGAACGUCCAAAUAUGGAGAAGAGUAAACAUUAAUAACAUAUUUGUAAUAAUCAGCUCAUUACAUAUUAUUCUUGCUGAUAGUAUGAGUACAUCAAUGCAGAAAUUGCAAAGUUCUUGCCCACUUGUUAAAGUGAAGGUAGAAAGUGAUAAUAUUUAAAUUGUGUAAUAUAUAUUACAUAUAGGUGAAUGACUUAAAAUUUUACCCCAAAAGUUCAUUUUUAGAGGCAAAUAAAUGUUGUCAGAUAUACUUUUGGUGCGAUAACUUACCUAUUCCUUAGGAUAUCGUCCUACUUUCCAAACAAACCCCAAAACACCUUUAUAACAUUAAUAGAACUCUCAGAAUAAGACACAAGGUACAAUUUUUGUGA